rnacentral:sRNA from 1 species
ACUCUCAUCAAUUUGAAGACGCGUGAUUGUACCCCGAUUU